rnacentral:lncRNA from 1 species
UGUCCAGCAGGGGGAGCUCGCGGACCAGAGGCGGUAACACACCUAUGUCUAAAGCUUGGAAGGUGAUGAAAACUGUUGUGAAAAACUGCAACAAAACGAAGUCAAAAAAACGAACUAACAGUUAGAUACUGUUUGAAGGUACUAGAACGAUGGUAAAUAUCCAAAAUGAAUGGAGAGGGGGAUGGAUGAAGCAAUGUGUUAGAGUCAGGCAACCAGGACGGGGCCAGCUGGAAAUAAGAGGGGGACUUGGGAUCUUAUUUGGAAUGAAGCUUCUGGAAGGUUUUUGGAGAGUUAGGAUCUGAUUUAGGUUUUAUGGAGCCAUUUCUAAUGGCCUUGCCGAGAACACAGUAAGGCAAGGCCGGCAUCAGGAACGGUGGAGAGGCUUUAAUUGUGGAGGUGGCAGCUGCCAGAGGUGGGACAGGGUGCCCCCGAGAGGCAAAGUCACUGUUUGCACCUGGCUCCACAUGCUAAGAAUCUUUGCAUGAAACAAAGUCCUGGAGUUGUAGCAACUCAUAAAUAACCUUGCUGAAGCCUUCAACUGGUGACCCAGCAGCUUCCAGCUUGUCAAUAGAUGUGAUUGAGUGUAAAGCCUCUUGGCAGCCAUCGUGGAGCUAAGGCAACCCCUGCAGAAGUUACCUCCACAGAGGAUCGACUGCCCACAAUUCCUGGCUGGGGCACCAAAGCCUCAGGAGACAAGCUGAGGCUUUAGACAAACAUCAUACCUUCCCCAAAAUGGUCAUGAAUUGAGGUAAGCCAGAGAGCAUGGUGAGCCUGAGACCUGCUGAUGAAUGGCAGGCUUUCCAGCCAAGAAUAUUACUGGAUCUUUCUUGUCCUGAUUCGGCUUCCUAACUUGACCUUACUUGAAAACAGAAUGGGCUAUUUCGAGGUUGAGAGUGAGGAUUUAUUGCCACGGAAUUUGUGAAUUAGUUUUCUUCUCUAUUGGGACCUGAGCCUUUGGUUCGUCUUCAGUGGGGUUUGACCUUGAACCACAUGCUGCCUGCGCUGCCCUUGACACCGGACCAAGUAUCUAGCUUCAGAAUGGAAGAUUGGAGAGCUUCCUCUGUCUGUCCUGCUGCUUCCUAAAUAGACCCAGAUAGUAACACUGAAAUGGUGAAAACAAGAGUAUUGCUUUUAUCAGCCUUGUGGUUUCCAACCAAAGCCAACGAUACAUGGGAAAAGGGAAUGUGGAAAAGCUCAUGACUGUACUCAACCAACAAAGCCAAGCUCACAUACUCUUGUAUGACCUGCCGGUGUAAGCCAAGCAAACCUUUCCUUCCCUCAGCUGCCUUUGGUCCAGGCAUUUUUCUAACUGUGAACUUCAUAUUUCGUUUAUAUUGCUAACUCCGAUUUAAGAAAUGACAUCAGUUUAAGUAAUGUGAUCAGAAAGAAAGCUUUUCUAUGCGAGAUCAAUCUAGUCAACACUCCAGCUUGGACUGAGAGGGGCUCAUGAGCUCUUGCCCCUAGCUGAGGAGCUGGUGACAGUUUGUGGCCUCUGGGGGACAUUAUCUUAAGAGCAUAACCCAUGCUCUAUGACCAUGCGUUCUACUUUGCUUUCUGUUGCUCUGAUAUAAGCACCAUGACCAAAAGCAACGUGGGAAGGAAAGGGUUGAUUUGGCUUACACUUCUGAGUCACAGCCCACCAUUGAAGGAAAUCGGGACAGGAACUCAAGCAGGCACUGAAUCAGACACCACAAAGGAACCACAAGCUCUAUGGCUUGCAAAUCUGCUUUCUUAUACAACCUAGGAUCACCUACCUACCUGUGGAUAACACCACCCACAGUAGGCUGGACCCUCCCACACCAAUUAGCAAUCAGGAAACUGCCUUGUACAGACAUUCUCACAGAUUCAUCUGAGGGAGGCAAUUUGAAGAGUCCCUCUUCUGGAUAUGUCUAAGUUUGUGUCAGGUUGACAAAAAUGAACAAGCACACCACAGGGGCUGUGUGACUGUGCAGAGAUAUUUGUAAUGGACGUAACUCAUUAUGAAUGGCAGCUGUGGACAUCUGAAAGCAAAUGUUAACCACUAGAACCAUGGCAGAAUCCUCCCUGAAAAAUUCAAUGUCAAUAGCAAUUUAAUUUAAUUUGAUAUAAUAAAAUUUAAAAUUCAGUUCCUUGGACACAUAAGUCACAUUCCAAAUGCUCAAGAUGCACUUGUCUAGUGGCUGCUGAACGAGGCAGCCCGUUCUAUGGAACCCUCUUUGACUUAUCGAGGCUGUUGUGGUUGAAUCUUGUUUUGUUUGAUAUCAUACAUUUUACUCUUUGGUUUGCUUUUGUUUACUUUU